rnacentral:rRNA from 1 species
UACGUAGGGGGCGAGCGUUGUCCGGAUUUAUUGGGCGUAAAGAGCGUGUAGGCGGCUUGGUAGGUCUGCUGUGAAAACUCGAGGCUCAACCUCGAGACGUCGAUGGAAACCAUCUAGCUAGAGUCCGGAAGAGGAGAGUGGAAUUCCUGGUGUAGCGGUGAAAUGCGCAGAUAUCAGGAAGAACACCCGUGGCGAAGGCGGCUCUCUGGUACGUGACUGACGCUGAGACGCGAAAGCGUGGGGAGCAAACAGG